rnacentral:lncRNA from 1 species
CUAGCUAAGCUUGUAGAUGUCCACGUAAUCAAUUCAUGCUCAAGUAUCAUGCAGGAAGGAAAAAAACUGAAUUAAUUCUUGAGAUUUUUUUUAGGAAAGAAGUAAUACGAUGAAUUUUUUUAGGAAAGAAAAUAGAAAUCAAAUUAACUAUCCUAUCAACCCAAUUUUUAUUACCAAUAGAUGAUACGUGUAGAUGGAUCUGGGCAAAAAAAUCAGCACUAUAAUCUUUUUUUUUUGAAGCAAAGAGAUGC